ACGGAGGGUGCAAGCGUUAUCCGGAAUCACUGGGUUUAAAGGGUGCGUAGGCGGUCAGAUAAGUCAGUCGUGAAAUUCCUCGGCUUAACCGGGUGGACUGCGAUUGAUACUGUUUGACUUGAAUGAGGUUGAGGUAGGCGGAAUGUGGCAUGUAGCGGUGAAAUGCUUAGAUAUGCCAUAGAACACCGAUUGCGAAGGCAGCUUGCUGGGCCUUCAUUGACGCUGAGGCACGAAAGCGUGGGGAGCAAACAGGAUUAGAUACCCUGGUAGUCCACGCCCUAAACGAUGUUUACUUGCUGUUUGGCCUUUGGGCUGAGUGGCGAAGCGAAAGCGCUAAGUAAACCACCUGGGGAGUACGCCGGCAACGGUG
rnacentral:rRNA from 1 species